UAGGUGAACCAGAAGUGCAGCAGAGUGAGACGCAGCUGAGGACUAAGGAAGUGGAGGUGACAUCUCCACCACACACGCCACACACGCAGCGAGGAUGGUGUUAAUCUGUGUGUCGGAGCUGUGUGUUCACUGGUACUGAUAAUUUUGGUGACAGACGUGGCGUCGUCCUCGGAGUUAUGAACGAUGAAGAGCGUCCGUCAACCGGGCUGUUACGUAACCUCCUGAAAACAAAGAUGGGGGGGGGGGCAGUGAACGCAGCACAGCAGGAAUGCAGGCAAGUGAGUCGCAGAGAUUCUGACUGUUGAUUGGAUACUUUUGCUCGUCUGUGUCUCAGAAUGUGUUGCAGUGCAUGCUGGGACACGCCACAGACCCCCCGGAUCACGAGGUGCAGCGAGAAGAUGAACGGAGAGAGAACUGCGUCUGAACAAUGUCGAGAAAAUGUUUUGAUCUUUGUACUUUUGCCAUUAAUUAAGUUUAAAAACAUGUUUUUAUUCAAGUUCUAUAUAUGUAUUUAUAAUAAAGUUAAUGGUUAAACUGUUA